GACGAACGCUGGCGGCGUGCUUAACACAUGCAAGUCGAACGGAAAGACCCUGCUUUUGUGGUGUGCUCGAGUGGCGAACGGGUGAGUAACACGUGUGUAACCUGCCCUUGACUUUGGGAUAACUUCAGGAAACUGGGGCUAAUACCGUAUCGGAGCUCCUGCUGCAUGGUGAGGGUUGGAAAGUUUCGGCGGUUGGGGAUGGACUCGCGGCUUAUCAGCUUGUUGGUUGGGUAGUUGCUUACCAAGGCUGUGACGGGUAGCCGGCCUGAGAGGGUGACCGGCCACAUUGGGACUGAGAUACGGCCCAGAGUCCUACGGGAGGCAGCAGUGGGGAAUAUUGCACAAUGGGCGGAAGCCUGAUGCAGCAACGCCGCGUGCGGGAUGACGGCCUUCGGGUUGUAAACCGCUUUCGCCUGUGACGAAGCGUGAGUGACGGUAAUGGGUAAAGAAGCACCGGCUAACUACGUG
rnacentral:rRNA from 1 species